UAGCCAUGAAUCCAGGCAGUGACGCAGAGCACAGACCUGCGAGCGUGCCCAAGCUGGCCUGGGGGAAGGAGGAGAAAGAAGGCCCUGGAGCUGCCCCAGCACAGCAGCCUGAAGAGGUGGAGCAGUUCCAGCCACUGCAGAAGGGUGCAGCCGUGCAGCGCACACGAGAGCAGGAACGCACCCGUGGCCGCUUCCGCAGAACAGCGCAGAUGGUUUGCAAAUUCAUGAAGAGGAUUCGGGAGGAAGAGAGCAGCGUCGUGGGCGCUGUGGUCAGAGCGUACUCUCCCAUCUUCAAAACCAAGACCAGUGCUGCCCUGCUGGAUAUGCUUGUGGAGGAGGGUCCUUCCAGCCCAAAGCAAGUGCCCGCCAUGGUGAGGUACAUCCACCUGUUGCUGGUGGCCAAUGAGUUUCCUGAGUACAAUCUGUACAGGCCCCUCCUGGAUCUGACAGAGGCACAGCCCUCUGACGUGGUGAUGGCUCUCCUGCGUGUGGCCC
rnacentral:lncRNA from 1 species